rnacentral:rRNA from 1 species
ACACAUGCAAGUCGAACGAGCGAGAGAGAGCUUGCUUUCUCAAGCGAGUGGCGAACGGGUGAGUAACGCGUGAGGAACCUGCCUCAAAGAGGGGGACAACAGUUGGAAACGACUGCUAAUACCGCAUAAGCCCACAGGUCGGCAUCGACCAGAGGGAAAAGGAGCAAUCCGCUUUGAGAUGGCCUCGCGUCCGAUUAGCUAGUUGGUGAGGUAACGGCCCACCAAGGCAACGAUCGGUAGCCGGACUGAGAGGUUGAACGGCCACAUUGGGACUGAGACACGGCCCAGACUCCUACGGGAGGCAGCAGUGGGGAAUAUUGCACAAUGGGGGAAACCCUGAUGCAGCGACGCCGCGUGGAGGAAGAAGGUCUUCGGAUUGUAAACUCCUGUUGUUGAGGAAGAUAAUGACGGUACUCAACAAGGAAGUGACGGCUAACUACGUGCCAGCAGCCGCGGUAAAACGUAGGUCACAAGCGUUGUCCGGAAUUACUGGGUGUAAAGGGAGCGCAGGCGGGAAAACAAGUUGGAAGUGAAAUCUAUGGGCUCAACCCAUAAACUGCUUUCAAAACUGUUUUUCUUGAGUAGUGCAGAGGUAGGCGGAAUUCCCGGUGUAGCGGUGGAAUGCGUAGAUAUCGGGAGGAACACCAGUGGCGAAGGCGGCCUACUGGGCACCAACUGACGCUGAGGCUCGAAAGUGUGGGUAGCAAACAGGAUUAGAUACCCUGGUAGUCCACACCGUAAACGAUGAUUACUAGGUGUUGGAGGAUUGACCCCUUCAGUGCCGCAGUUAACACAAUAAGUAAUCCACCUGGGGAGUACGACCGCAAGG